rfam:TPA: Bos taurus chromosome 14, whole genome shotgun sequence.
UCCCUGGUGGUCCAGUGGUUAGGACCCAGCACUUUUACUGCUGUGGGCCUGGGUUCUAUCCCUGGUCCAGGAA